CCUUUAAAGAAAGCGUAAUAGCUCACUGGUCGAGCGACCCUGCGCCGAAAAUGUAACGGGGCUAAGCAUGGCGCCGAAGCUUCGGAAUCAGGCGUACGUCUGAUUGGUAGGAGAGCGUUCUCUGCGGGUUGAAGGAGUACCGGGAGGUGCUGUGGACUGCAGAGAAGUGACUAUGCUGGCAUGAGUAACGAAAAAACAGGUGAAAAACCUGUUCGCCGUAAACCCAAGGUUUCCUGGGUAAAGAUAAUCUUCCCAGGGUAAGUCGGCCCCUAAGGCGAGGCGGAAACGCGUAGCUGAUGGGAAACGGGUUAAUAUUCCCGUACCUGUGGUGCCUUGUUGGAGCGAAGGGGGGACGCAGGAGGGUAGGUGGUCCGGGUGUUGGAAUACCC
rnacentral:rRNA from 12 species